CCUACGGGAGGCAGCAGUGAGGAAUAUUGGUCAAUGGGCGUAAGCCUGAACCAGCCAAGUCGCGUGAGGGAUGAAGGUUCUAUGGAUUGUAAACCUCUUUUAUAAGGGAAUAAAGUCUGGGACGCGUCCUAUUUUGUAUGUACCUUAUGAAUAAGGAUCGGCUAACUCCGUGCCAGCAGCCGCGGUAAUACGGAGGAUGCGAGCGUUAUCCGGAUUUAUUGGGUUUAAAGGGUGCGUAGGCGGCCUUUUAAGUCAGCGGUGAAAGUUUGGGGCUCAACCCUAGAAUUGCCGUUGAAACUGGGUGGCUUGAGUAUGUUAGAGGCAGGCGGAAUGCGUGGUGUAGCGGUGAAAUGCUUAGAUAUCACGCAGAACCCCGAUUGCGAAGGCAGCCUGCCAGGCCAAGACUGACGCUGAUGCACGAAAGCGUGGGGAUCAAACAGGAUUAGAUACCCCUGUAGUC
rnacentral:rRNA from 1 species